rnacentral:sRNA from 1 species
AGACUACCGGCGGCGACGACCACGGGAGCAUGGCGGACACCGACCUGUUCAUGGAAUGUGAGGAGGAGGAGUUGGAGCCAUGGCAGAAAAUCAGUGAUGUCAUUGAGGACUCUGUAGUUGAAGAUUAUAAUUCAGUGGAUAAAACUACCACAGUUUCUGUGAGCCAGCAGCCAGUCUCGGCUCCAGUGCCCAUCGCUGCCCAUGCUUCUGUUGCUGGGCACCUCUCUACAUCCACCACCGUUAGUAGCAGCGGGGCACAGAACAGCGACAGUACAAAGAAGACUCUUGUCACACUAAUUGCCAACAACAAUGGUAAGUGGGAUUAUUGGGAAAUAAUAAUCCUGGGCUAGAGGGGUGAAAGAAUAAAAAAGGUCUCAGGGACAGCCAUACUGUUUA